CUGAGAGCUGAGGGAAUGUGUGAGUGAGUGUAUGUGUGUGUAAGUGAGUGAGUGAGUGAGUGAAUGUGUGUGUGAGUGUGUGAGUGAGUGAAUGUGUGUGUGAGUGUGUGAGUGAGUGAGUGAGUGAGUGUAUGUGUAUGUAAGUGAGUGAGUGAGUGAGUGAGUGAGUGAAUGUGUGUGUGAGUGAGUGAAUGUGUGUGUGAGUGUGUGAGUGAGUGAGUGAAUGUGUGUGUGAGUGAGUGAGUGAGUGAGUGAGUGAGUGUGUGAGUGAGUGAAUGUGUGUGUGAGUGAGUGAGUGAGUGAGUGUAUGUGUGUGUGAGUGUGUGAGUGAGUGAGUGAAUGUGUGUGUGAGUGAGUGAGUGUGUGAGUGAGUGAAUGUGUGUGUGAGUGAGUGAAUGUGUGUGUGAGUGAGUGAGUGUGUGAGUGAGUGAAUGUGUGUGUGAGUGAGUGUGUGAUUGAGUGAAUGUGUGUGUGAGUGUGUGAGUGAGUGAGUGAAUUGGUGUGUGAGUGUGUGAGUGAGUGAGUGAAUGUG
ensembl:lncRNA